rnacentral:rRNA from 1 species
AUGCUGUGCGUCCGCGCGGAGGACGCGCUGGCGGCAGCGGCGGCCGUGGCCGUGGCGUCCGACAAGAUGCGCUCCUCCGUGACCCUGGGCGGCUCGAUCCAGCGGGCGAUGCAGCGGAUGGGCGGCGGCGGGGCCCGGCGAGCGCGCGGCGGCGACACGUGCCCCACGCCGCCGCCGGAGCAGGAGCGCCCGCCGCGUCUCGCGGCGGGGAGCGGCGAGGCGUCGUCGUCGUCGUCAGCGAGCUGCUCCACGGAUGAUAGCAGCAAUGGUGGCGGCAAGAGGGAAGGGGUCCGGAGGGGCGGCGGCAUGCGGCGGUACAGAUCGCAGCUCGAGCAGGAAGUCAGGAAUUUGCAGAGGCAGCUCCAGGAAGAGAUCGACAUGCAUCUGGCGUUGACAGAUGCCAUCGCACACGAUGCCGAGCUGAUACUUAAAUCUUCCACAAAGCUACCGAACAAGGCGCAGGAGCUCGUAGAUAGCAUAUCCUCUUUAGAAAUCACUAUCUCAAAGCUCGAGACGGAUCUAAGCGAUUUACGCUACCAGCUGUGUCAUGUAAGGACUGAAAGGUUACUAGUAGAAAGUAAUCCAGAAUGCUUACUAUCGACACCAUCAACUAGUAAAUGCACAUGGGAUGAACACACAUCGGCGUUAAGAGAUUUUAAGUUGGAGGAAUAUGAGUCAGUUCAGUUAAUGGAAAAAUAUCUGUACCCUGAGCUUGAAGAACGACAGGAUGUUGAAAAAGAGAGUGAAAAUAGGGAGAAGGUGUCUACAAAUGGGCAGCUAGAAGAGCACCAAGAUGUCAGUUUAAAUAUAUUUCUAGAAGAACACCAAGAUGAAGAGAUGCAAGAACCAAGCUCUACAGAGAAGGAUGGCAAAGAGUAUCUUGGAAUAGAUGCAUUGUCAUUUAGCGAAUCUGAUCCGAAGAAACACAGCAUGAAUGGAAACAUGUGCAACAAUCCAAAUCAGCUCUCUGGAGAGAUGGUGCGCUGCAUGAGAGAUAUCUUCCUACACUUAUCUCGAUCAUCGAAGAUAUCACCAAAGUUGUCUUCUGAUAAUUCGUCUUCAUCAGCGGGAUGUUUAUCUGGCUCUACAUUUACGUCUGUGUCAGAUUCAUCUUUGAUGGCCUCAGUGCUGCGAAGCCCUUCAGUUGAUUCAGAUCACGAUGAUGAUAUUAUAGAUGAAGUGGGGAACUUUGAUCCGUACAGUGUUAAUGGGAAGGAAGCUCGAAGAGACAUUGGGAAGUAUUGUUCAGUAGCCGAAGUAUCUUGGAUGAAUGUAUGCAAGGAACAGCUUGAAUAUGCGUCUGAUGCUCUCCAAAAAUUCAGGUCCCUUGUGGAGCAACUAUCAAAGGUUGAUCCUACCCGUAUGAACUGCGACGAGCGGUUAGCGUUUUGGAUCAACCUUUACAAUGCCUUAAUAAUGCAUGCAUAUUUAGCUUAUGGAGUCCCCGGGAACGACAUUAAGCUUUUCUCGCUAAUGCAGAAGGCCUGUUACAAGGUUGGUGGGCAGUCCUUCAGUGCAGCUGAAAUAGAGUUUGUAAUCCUAAAGAUGAAGAACCCAGCACACCGGCCACAAAUCUCUUUGAUGUUAGCCCUUCACAAGUUCAGGGUCACCGAGGAGCACAAGAGGUAUUCGGUCGACGACACGGAGCCCCUGGCACUGUUUGCACUGAGCAGCGGAAUGUUCUCGUCACCUGCUGUGAGGAUUUUCUCGGCCGAGAACGUUCGGCAGCAGCUGCAAGAGUCGAUGAGGGAUUACAUCCGGGCGUCGGUCGGGAUCAGCGACAAGGGGAAGCUGACGGUCCCGGCUUUGCUGCAGAGCUACGGCAAGGGCACGGUGGAGGACUCGCUGCUGGCCGACUGGAUCUGCCGGCAGCUGACGCCGGCGCAGGUGGCGGCGGUGCAGGACACCACGUCGUCGCGCAAGCAGCGGCUCCUCGGUUUCCGCAGCUUCACCGUCGUCCCGUUCGACUCCACGUUCCGGUACCUCUUCCUGCCUGACGACCAGCACUAG